UACGUAGGGGGCGAGCGUUGUCCGGAAUCAUUGGGCGUAAAGCGCGUGUAGGCGGCCCGGUAAGUCCGCUGUGAAAGUCCAGGGCUCAACCCUGGGAUGCCGGUGGAUACUGUCGGGCUCGAGUCCGGAAGAGGCGAGUGGAAUUCCUGGUGUAGCGGUGAAAUGCGCAGAUAUCAGGAGGAACACCAAUGGCGAAGGCAGCACUCUGGGACGGUACUGACGCUGAGACGCGAAAGCGUGGGGAGCAAACGGG
rnacentral:rRNA from 1 species